AGAGUUUGAUCCUGGCUCAGAACGAACGCUGGCGGCGCGUUUUAAGCAUGCAAGUCGAACGAGUAGCCAUUGUGCUUGCACAGUGGUGAGAGUGGCGAACGGGUGAGUAACACGUAGAUAAUCUGCCCUCAGCUUGGGGAUAGCCCAUGGAAACAUGGAUUAAUACCGAAUAUCUUCUUAGUUCUAUAAAGAGCUUAGAGGAAAGGUCCUAAGGGACCGGCUGAGGAUGAGUCUGCGGCCCAUUAGCUAGUUGGUGGGGUAAGAGCCUACCAAGGCAACGAUGGGUAGCCGGCCUGAGAGGGUGACCGGCCACACUGGGACUGAGAUACGGCCCAGACUCCAACGGGAGGCAGCAGCUAAGAAUCUUCCGCAAUGGACGAAAGUCUGACGGAGCGACGCCGCGUGAACGAUGAAGGCCGUGAGGUUGUAAAGUUCUUUUCAUGGGGAGGAAUAAGCGUGAGAGGGAAUGCUCGCGUGAUGACGUUAACCAUGGAAUAAGCCCCGGCUAAUUACGUGCCAGCAGCCGCGGUAACACGUAAGGGGCAAGCGUUGUUCGGAAUCAUUGGGCGUAAAGGGCACGCAGGCGGUGAAGCAAGUCUGAUGUGAAAGAUCCCGGCUUAACUGGGAAAGCGCAUUGGAAACUGUUUUACUAGAGUGGUUUAGGGGAGACUGGAAUUCCUAGUGUAGGGGUGAAAUCUGUAGAUAUUAGGAAGAACACCGGUGGCGAAGGCGAGUCUCUGGGAACCAACUGACGCUGAGGUGCGAAAGCGUGGGGAGCGAACAGGAUUAGAUACCCUGGUAGUCCACGCCGUAAACGAUGUACACUAGUUGCUUGAUCGUUCAGAUUGGGUGACGCAGCUAACGCGUUAAGUGUACCGCCUGGGGAGUAUGGUCGCAAGAUUGAAACUCAAAGGAAUUGACGGGGGCCCGCACAAGCGGUGGAGCAUGUGGUUUAAUUCGAUGAUACGCGAGAAACCUUACCAGGGCUUGACAUAUGCCGGACCGCUGUAGAGAUACAGCCUUCCCUUCGGGGAUCGGUAUACAGGUGCUGCAUGGUUGUCGUCAGCUCGUGCUGUGAAGUGUUGGGUUAAGUCCCGCAACGAGCGCAACCCCUGCUGUCAGUUACUAACAGGUAAUGCUGAGGACUCUGGCGGUACUGCCGGUGACAAACCGGAGGAAGGUGGGGAUGACGUCAAAUCAUCAUGGCCCUUAUGUCCUGGGCUACACACGUGCUACAAUGGCCGAUACAGAGUGAGGCGAAGCCGCGAGGUGAAGCAAAACGCAGAAAGUCGGUCUCAGUACGGAUUGGAGUCUGAAACUCGACUCCAUGAAGAUGGAAUCGCUAGUAAUCGCGCAUCAGCAUGGCGCGGUGAAUACGUUCCCGGGCCUUGUACACACCGCCCGUCACACCACCCGAGUUGGGGAUACCCGAAGUCGCUAGUCUAACCAGUAAUGGGGGACGGUGCCGAAGGUAUGCUUGGUAAGGGGGGUGAAGUCGUAACAAGGUA
rnacentral:rRNA from 1 species